GCAUUCUUAACAUCUUGGAGUAAAAUCACCCAAGCAAGUUGAAAAAAAUCUGAUCCUUCUGCACUUUCCCCAAGAAUUUCAGAUUGGAUUUUGGAAGUUUGGACUUAAAUAGCUUUAAGAUAAUUUGGCAACCUUGUCCCUGGAAAUCUGGCACCACUGGGGCUCCUGUCUCUCAGAAUUAAAAAAAAAAAAAAAUCCAGUCUCUGCACAAGCCUCCCAGUGAGCUGCCACCCAAUAGGAGAGACAGAUCAAAGCUGCCU
rnacentral:lncRNA from 1 species